rnacentral:sRNA from 1 species
AGGUUUAUUCUUCAGUCCAAGGAAGCAAUUCACAAUCAGCUGUUAGAGAAGCAGAAAAUAGCAGAAGAAAAAAUUAAAGAACUAGAACAGAAAAAGUCCUACCUGGAGCGAAGCGUUAAGGAAGCUGAGGACAACAUCCGGGAGAUGCUGAUGGCACGAAGGGCCCAGUAGCGAGCCUCUCUGGGAAGCUCUUCCUCCUGCCCCUCCCAUUCCUGGUGGGGGCAGAGGAGUGCCUGCAGGGAAACAGCUUCUCCUCUGCCCCGAUGGAUGCUUUAUUUGGAUGGCCUGGCAACAUCACAUUUUCUGCAUCACUCUGAGCCCCAUUUGCUUCCCAGCCCUGGAGUUUUUACCCGGCUUUGCCUGCCACCUCUGCCCAGGACACUCUUCCCUCUCGGGAUGUGUGAUGAACUCCCAGGAGAGGGAAGAUGGGAGCCAGGGCAAGAUAGGAAGCUCUGCCUGAGCUUUCCACUAGGCACGCCAGCCAGACCAAUAAAAAGCGUCUGUCCCACUCUGCUAAGCCUGGUUUUCUUGAGCAGAGGGAUGGAACAGAGGGUGAGAGAGGCAGUGGCCGUCUCCACCUCAGCUCCUGCUCCCUCUGCAUCAGAGCCCUUCCUUUCUUGGGGGAUGGGCCUUGCCCUCUUCUCUUUUCCCUUCCUGUACCUUUGACUAACGCUCAGCUUCCGGGCCUGCAUGCAGUAGACAGAAGAGGAAGAAAGAACAGACGUUCACAGCUGAAUCUCAGUGAACAGAAUAGCAGUCCCUGGAUGGCAGUCUGCCUAAAGAUUCCUUUCCCUGCCU